GAUGAACGCUGGCGGCGUGCCUAAUACAUGCAAGUCGAGCGAACGGACGAGAAGCUUGCUUCUCUGAUGUUAGCGGCGGACGGGUGAGUAACACGUGGAUAACCUACCUAUAAGACUGGGAUAACUUCGGGAAACCGUAUCUAAUACCGGAUAAUAUUUUGAACCGCAUGGUUCAAAAGUGAAAGACGGUCUUGCUGUCACUUAUAGAUGGAUCCGCGCUGCAUUAGCUAGUUGGUAAGGUAACGGCUUACCAAGGCAACGAUGCAUAGCCGACCUGAGAGGGUGAUAGGCCACACUGGAACUGAGACACGGUCCAGACUCCUACGGGAGGCAGCAGUAGGGAAUCUUCCGCAAUGGGCGAAAGCCUGACGGAGCAACGCCGCGUGAGUGAUGAAGGUCUUCGGAUCGUAAAACUCUGUUAUUAGGGAAGAACAUAUGUGUAAGUAACUGUGCACAUCUUGACGGUACCUAAUCAGAAAGCCACGGCUAACUACGUG
rnacentral:rRNA from 1 species